rnacentral:rRNA from 1 species
CCUACGGGGGGCAGCAGUGAGGAAUAUUGGUCAAUGGACGAGAGUCUGAACCAGCCAAGUAGCGUGAAGGAUGACUGCCCUACGGGUUGUAAACUUCUUUUAUAUGGGAAUAAAAUGUUCCACGUGUGGGAUUUUGUAUGUACCAUAUGAAUAAGGAUCGGCUAACUCCGUGCCAGCAGCCGCGGUAAUACGGAGGAUCCGAGCGUUAUCCGGAUUUAUUGGGUUUAAAGGGAGCGUAGGUGGGUUGUUAAGUCAGUUGUGAAAGUUUGCGGCUCAACCGUAAAAUUGCAGUUGAAACUGGCAGUCUUGAGUACAGUAGAGGUGGGCGGAAUUCGUGGUGUAGCGGUGAAAUGCUUAGAUAUCACGAAGAACUCCGAUUGCGAAGGCAGUUCACUGGACUGCAACUGACACUGAGGCUCGAAAGUGUGGGUAUCAAACAGGAUUAGAUACCCUAGUAGUC